rnacentral:rRNA from 1 species
AUUGAACGCUGGCGGCAGGCCUAACACAUGCAAGUCGAACGGUAACAGGAAGAAGCUUGCUUCUUUGCUGACGAGUGGCGGACGGGUGAGUAAUGUCUGGAAACUGCCUGAUGGAGGGGGAUAACUACUGGAAACGGUAGCUAAUGCCGCAUAACGUCGCAAGACCAAAGAGGGGGACCUUCGGGCCUCUUGCCAUCGGAUGUGCCCAGAUGGGAUUAGCUAGUUGGUGGGGUAACGGCUCACCAAGGCGACGAUCCCUAGCUGGUCUGAGAGGAUGACCAGCCACACUGGAACUGAGACACGGUCCAGACUCCUACGGGAGGCAGCAGUGGGGAAUAUUGCACAAUGGGCGCAAGCCUGAUGCAGCCAUGCCGCGUGUAUGAAGAAGGCCUUCGGGUUGUAAAGUACUUUCAGCGGGGAGGAAGGGAGUAAAGUUAAUACCUUUGCUCAUUGACGUUACCCGCAGAAGAAGCACCGGCUAACUCCGUGCCAGCAGCCGCGGUAA